GACGAACGCUGGCGGCGUGCUUAACACAUGCAAGUCGAGCGGUAAGGCCCUUCGGGGUACACGAGCGGCGAACGGGUGAGUAACACGUGGGUGACCUGCCCUCCACUUCGGGAUAAGCCCGGGAAACUGGGUCUAAUACCGGAUAUGACUUCUCCUCGCAUGGGGGGUUGUGGAAAGUUUUUUCGGUGGGGGAUGGGCCCGCGGUCUAUCAGCUUGUUGGUGGGGUGAUGGCCUACCAAGGCGACGACGGAUAGCCGGCCUGAGAGGGUGAUCGGCCACACUGGGACUGAGGCACGGCCCAGACUCCUACGGGAGGCAGCAGUGGGGAAUCUUGCGCAAUGGGCGGAAGCCUGACGCAGCAACGCCGCGUGAGGGAUGACGGCCUUCGGGUUGUAAACCUCUUUCGCGAUCGACGAAGGCCAUGUUUUUGGCAUGGUUGACGGUAGGUCGAGAAGAAGCACCGGCCAACUACGUGCCAGCAGCCGCGGUAACAC
rnacentral:rRNA from 1 species